rnacentral:rRNA from 1 species
UACGUAGGGUCCGAGCGUUGUCCGGAAUUAUUGGGCGUAAAGGGCUCGUAGGCGGUUUGUCACGUCGGAAGUGAAAACUCAGGGCUCAACCCUGAGCGUGCUUACGAUACGGGCAAACUAGAGGUAUGCAGGGGAGAACGGAAUUCCUGGUGUAGCGGUGGAAUGCGCAGAUAUCAGGAGGAACACCGGUGGCGAAGGCGGUUCUCUGGGCAUUACCUGACGCUGAGGAGCGAAAGCAUGGGGAGCGAACAGG